rnacentral:rRNA from 1 species
UACGUAGGUGGCAAGCGUUGUCCGGAUUUAUUGGGUUUAAAGGGUGCGUAGGCGGCUUAAUAAGUCAGUGGUGAAAGCCGAUCGCUUAACGAUCGAACUGCCAUUGAUACUGCUAGGCUUGAGUAUAGUUGAGGUAGGCGGAAUUGACAGUGUAGCGGUGAAAUGCAUAGAUAUUGUCAAGAACACCAAUUGCGAAGGCAGCUUACUAAAGUAUAAACUGACGCGUGAGGCACGAAAGUGCGGGGAUCAAACAGG